CAGUAGCCGCGGUAAAACGUAGGUGGCAAGCGUUGUCCGGAAUUAUUGGGCGUAAAGGGCUCGCAGGCGGUUUCUUAAGUUUGAUGUGAAAGCCCCCGGCUCAACCGGGGAGGGUCAUUGGAAACUGGGAAACUUGAGUGCAGAAGAGGAGAGUGGAAUUCCACGUGUAGCGGUGAAAUGCGUAGAGAUGUGGAGGAACACCAGUGGCGAAGGCGACUCUCUGGUCUGUAACUGACGCUGAGGAGCGAAAGCGUGGGGAGCGAACAGGAUUAGAUACCCCCGUAGUCCCUGUCUCUUAUAC
rnacentral:rRNA from 1 species